rnacentral:rRNA from 1 species
AGAGCGAACGCUGGCGGCAGGCCUAACACAUGCAAGUCGAGCGCGUGUAGCAAUACACGAGCGGCAGACGGGAGAGUAACACGUGGGAACGCGCCCUUCGGUUCGGAAUAACUCAGGGAAACUUGAGCUAAUACCGGAUACGCCCUUACGGGGAAAGAUUUAUUGCCGAAGGAACGGCCCGCGUCCGAUUAGCUAGUUGGUGAGGUAACGGCUCACCAAGGCGACGACGGGUAGCCGGCCUGAGAGGGCGACCGGCCACACUGGGACUGAGACACGGCCCAGACUCCUACGGGAGGCAGCAGUGGGGAAUAUUGCGCAAUGGGCGAAAGCCUGACGCAGCGACGCCGCGUGGGGGAUGAAGGCCUUCGGGUUGUAAACCCUUUCAGCAGGGACGAAGCGAAAGUGACGGUACCUGCAGAAGAAGCGCCGGCUAACUACGCGCCAGCAGCCGC